rnacentral:rRNA from 1 species
GAUGAACGCUGGCGGCGUGCCUAAUACAUGCAAGUCGAGCGAACGGACGAGAAGCUUGCUUCUCUGAUGUUAGCGGCGGACGGGUGAGUAACACGUGGAUAACCUACCUAUAAGACUGGGAUAACUUCGGGAAACCGGAGCUAAUACCGGAUGAUAUUUUGAACCGCAUGGUUCAAAAGUGAAAGACGGUCUUGCUGUCACUUAUAGAUGGAUCCGCGCUGCAUUAGCUAGUUGGUAAGGUAACGGCUUACCAAGGCAACGAUGCAUAGCCGACCUGAGAGGGUGAUCGGCCACACUGGAACUGGACCACGGUCCAGACUCCUACGGGAGGCAGCAGUAGGGAAUCUUCCGCAAUAGGCGGGAGCCUGACGGAGCGACGCCGCGUGAGUGAUGAAGGUCUUCGGAUCGUAAAACUCUGUUAUUAGGGAAGAACAUAUGUGUAAGUAACUGUGCACAUCUUGACGGUACCUAAUCAGAAAGCCACGGCUAACUACGUG